rnacentral:rRNA from 1 species
GGUUAAGCGACUAAGCGUACACGGUGGAUGCCCUGGCAGUCAGAGGCGAUGAAGGGCGUGCUAAUCUGCGAUAAGCGCCGGUAAGGUGAUAUGAACCGUUAUAACCGGCGAUACCCGAAUGGGGAAACCCAGUGUGACUCGUCACACUAUCAUUAACUGAAUCCAUAGGUUAAUGAGGCGAACCGGGGGAACUGAAACAUCUAAGUACCCCGAGGAAAAGAAAUCAACCGAGAUUCCCCCAGUAGCGGCGAGCGAACGGGGAGGAGCCCAGAGCCU